rnacentral:tRNA from 1 species
GCUCCGGUGAUGUAGUCCGGUUAUCCUAGGCCGAAAGCAUUCGAGCCUCUCGAGCUCGAUACCCGGGUUCAAAUCCCGGCCGGAGCA